rnacentral:rRNA from 1 species
UCCUACGGGAGGCAGCAGUGGGGAAUAUUGGACAAUGGGCGCAAGCCUGAUCCAGCCAUGCCGCGUGUGUGAAGAAGGCCUUUUGGUUGUAAAGCACUUUAAGCGAGGAGGAGGCUCCUUUAGUUAAUACCUAAAGUGAGUGGACGUUACUCGCAGAAUAAGCACCGGCUAACUCUGUGCCAGCAGCCGCGGUAAU